GCUUGUACAAAGGCCGUUCAGCGUCGGGAUUUACACUCGGCUCCACACGGAUAUGUGAAGAAUGAAGGGACCCUGCAGCGAAACGGAGAGCCAACCUCUGACUGAGUGCCUGUCUACACAGUCUGACCACCUGUUGAAGGGCUGUUUGAUGACGAUUUGGACUCCUAUGGGAGAUGAGGACACACCCACAUCUGUUCCAUACUGCAGCCAUUGAUGGUGUUACAGCUCUGAGUCAGAUUUGGGCCAUCAGACGCACACACUGGAAAACCAGCACCUGGACUUCAUGCAGGAGAGACGGCCUCAGUGAUAAUUCAUCAGCAGCUGUGGAGAG
ensembl:lncRNA